UCCAGACUCCUACGGGAGGCAGCAGUGGGGAAUAUUGCACAAUGGGCGCAAGCCUGAUGCAGCCAUGCCGCGUGUGUGAAGAAGGCCUUCGGGUUGUAAAGCACUUUCAGUAGGGAGGAAGGUGGUAGUGUUAAUAGCGCUAUCAUUUGACGUUACCUACAGAAGAAGCACCGGCUAACUCCGUGCCAGCAGCCGCGGUAAUACGGAGGGUGCGAGCGUUAAUCGGAAUUACUGGGCGUAAAGCGCAUGCAGGUGGUUUGUUAAGUCAGAUGUGAAAGCCCCGGGCUCAACCUGGGAAUUGCAUUUGAAACUGGCAAACUAGAGUACUGUAGAGGGGGGUAGAAUUUCAGGUGUAGCGGUGAAAUGCGUAGAGAUCUGAAGGAAUACCGGUGGCGAAGGCGGCCCCCUGGACAGAUACUGACACUCAGAUGCGAAAGCGUGGGGAGCAAACAGGAUUAGAUACCCUGGUAGUCCACGCCGUAAACGAUGUCUACUUGGAGGUUGUGGCCUUGAGCCGUGGCUUUCGGAGCUAACGCGUUAAGUAGACCGCCUGGGGAGUACGGUCGCAAGAUUAAAACUCAAAUGAAUUGACGGGGGCCCGCACAAGCGGUGGAGCAUGUGGUUUAAUUCGAUGCAACGCGAAGAACCUUACCUACUCUUGACAUCCAGAGAAGCCAGCGGAGACGCAGGUGUGCCUUCGGGAGCUCUGAGACAGGUGC
rnacentral:rRNA from 1 species